CGGCUCUCAGUGCGUGCAGCUUGUGCGCGCGGUGAACGGAAGUUGCUACAGUUCAGAAGUUCUGAAGUUUGUCAGUUCUGGGAGUAACCGGGCUGGUUCUGGUGUGACCCGGUCCGGUGUGUCGGAACCAUGUCUGGGGGAGCCCUGCGGGAUUACUUUCUCUUCCAGCUGCCCCCCUCGGUCCAAUGGGAGUUCUGCCGGGUCAUGGAUGGACUGCUGGACCUGGACUGGACCCGCUUCGCCUCAGAGGUCCUCAAGGACCAGACCGCGGUCCGAUUGGCUGACCGGAGGGAGAGGCGGACCGACUGGGUGAUGAACCAAUGGGAGAGCAGGAACGGUCGGGUUGGCGAGCUGAUCGACCUGCUGGAGUCUCUGCAGCUCUUCCGGCCGCGUGAUGUCAUCCUCACCUGGACACGGAGUGACGCUCUUCCUCCUCUUCCUCCUCCUCCUCCUCCUCCUCCAUAUGAGCCGCCGGCUCAGCCGACAGUUGAUUGUUCGGCCAAAAAAGAAGAAAGACCUCUACCUGGACCGGCCCCGCCCCCUGGCGAGCUGUACUCUGAGCACCAGCAGGCCCAGGAAACAGGCUGCGCCUCUCCUGAUGCUGCUGCCGCUCAUGAUGUAGCUCCUCCAUCUUUCACCGGCGUCAUCUGCUGGACGUAUGAAGAGGUGCAUGAUGGGACGCAAGGGUUCUCCCCCAGCCUGCAGGUGGGAGAGGGAGGCUUCGGGGUCGUCUACCGGGCGUCUCUCAGGAACAUGGACUGUGCCGUCAAGAGACUCCGACAGGACUGCCACAUGGACUGGACUCUGAGGGGAAGCUUCCAGGCUGAGGUGGAGUACCUGUCCAGGUUCAGGCAUCGGAACAUCGUGGACCUGCUGGGUUUCAGCGAAGGAGAAGGCGGCGCCAUGUGUCUGAUCUACAGCUACAUGGAGAACCGCUCGCUGGAGGACCAGCUGCAGGAAGCGUGUGUGGUUCUGUCCUGGGCUCUCCGGGUCAGUAUAGUGGAAGGAGCAGCAGCAGCUCUUCAGUUUCUGCACCACCCCCCGGUGGGUCAGGAACAGCUGAUCCAUGGAGACGUGAAGAGUUCUAACAUCCUGUUGGACCAGCACUGGGUACCAAAACUUUCGGACUUCGGUCUGGCUCGGUGCGUGCCGCGCGGCCCGGCCGGCUGUUCCACGCAGACCCAGUCCGUCGGCAGAACCACGACCGUGAGAGGAACGCUGGCGUAUCUGCCUGAGGAAUACGUGAGGAGAGGCGAGCUGAGCACGGGGCUGGACGUCUACAGCUUCGGCGUGGUGCUGCUGGAGGUUCUGACGGGGCGGCGAGCUCUGGAACAGGACGGGAAGUCUGGAGACAGAUACCUGAAGGACCUUGUGGAGGACGAUGACCCGAACAGCGCCGGCCCAGAAGCGUGGAGGAGACACCUGGACCAACGGCUGACUGCUGGCGGCGCCGCUGAGCCUGACGGUUACCUGCGGGUGGCAGCGCUGGCCCGAAAGAGUCUCAGCAGGCAGAGGAAGAAGAGACCCGCCAUGACUGAGGUGUUCCACCAACUGAGGGAGCUGCGCAGCUCGAUGAGGAGGAGCUCGUCCUCGCCCCGGCUCCCCCCGCCCCCCCCCCAGUCCUUCCCCAGACCCCCCCGCUCCCUGGACUCCUGCGUCACCGCCGUCUCCCACCAGCUGUCCGAGCUGGCGCCGUCACAACAGAACCUGCCUCCCUCCUCCUCCUCCUCCUCCUCCUCCUCUUCGUCGUUCGGGGCCUUCACCCCUCCUCGCCCGCUCCACUCCUCCUCCCUCGGCCCCCCCUCCCUCUGCCCCCCCUCCCUGUCCCUCGCCGGCCCGUGUGAAACCGACGAAAGCCGCGGCUUCUCUCAGUACGAGCUGCGCUCCCAGUUCCGGUCCGACGGGUCCGGCUGCGGUUCUGACCAUCAGAACCGAGCCGUUGCUGCGGCGUCCCGCCUCAGCCAGCCGUCCGUUCCCACGGAGGACCAGUACAACUACCCCCCCCAGCCCGGCGGGCCCGGGCCCGGCGAGGCGGCCCGGUUCUCCCCGGCCGGGUCCCUGCAGUCCACCUCGGCCGGACUCUCAGUUCUGGUGAAUCCCAGCAAACAGCGGCUGUUGGAGAAGAAGAGUCAGUACGACGAGGGUCGGAUCAGAACCCCAGAACUGCUGUCGUUAGUGGACCUGUGUACGUAACCCUCACUCACGCUGUGCAAUGUGUGUAAAGUCUGUAUCCCACAGCCAACCAUGCGUUUCCCCGGAAACGGCAGAUCGCUUCUGACCGCUCGGCCGCUCGGCCGCUCGUUUGCAUCGUCUGUUAUAAGGAAGCUAAAGUGGGAAUAAAUCGUCUUUUAACUCCAACAACAGCAUCUGGACUCUUAACGUUUGCCUGAGCUCGGUUCUGAUCUUAGCCCGACCCUAAACACGCAGUUCUGCUGUGUCAGAACCAGACCUUGGUCCCUGGUCUUCAGAGGUUCUGUUUCGGGGGUCGGACCGUUGGGGUGGGUCGGCUGGCGGAGGACCAUCCAGACUCUUCCUGUGUCGGACCACGAUGGUGGAAGAACCUCCUGAGCGCUACCAGAAACCGGGCCUGGUAUCCCUCUUUGCCUGCGCUCAGGUUCUGCACCAUGAGCUCAGACAGAACCCGACUGGUGGUCUUAGUAGCUUAUCGCUAUCUUGGAUAUUAGCCGGAUUAAUAUGUCCUGAUGUCCAUGAUGCUUUAAAAACAGCAACAACACGCAGACCCCCCCCCCCCCCCCC